rnacentral:rRNA from 1 species
UUUGAUUCUGGCUCAGGAUGAACGCUAGCGGCAGGCUUAAUACAUGCAAGUCGAGGGGCAGCACAGAUAGCAAUAUUUGGUGGCGACCGGCAAACGGGUGCGGAACACGUACGCAACCUUCCCAGAACAGGUGAAUAGCCCUCCGAAAGGAGGAUUAAUACACCGUAAUAUAUAGAGGUGGCACCAUUUUUAUAUUAAAGGUCGCGAGACCGGUUUUGGAUGGGCGUGCGCCUGAUUAGGUAGUUGGUGGGGUAAAGGCCCACCAAGCCUUCGAUCAGUAACUGGUGUGAGAGCACGACCAGUCACACGGGCACUGAGACACGGGCCCGACUCCUACGGGAGGCAGCAGUAAGGAAUAUUGGUCAAUGGACGGAAGUCUGAACCAGCCAUGCCGCGUGAAGGAUGAAGGCCCUCUGGGUUGUAAACUUCUUUUAUCUGGGACGAAAAAAGGGAAUUUUUUCUCACUUGACGGUACCAGAGGAAUAAGCACCGGCUAACUCCGUGCCAGCAGCCGCGGUAAUACGGAGGGUGCAAGCGUUAUCCGGAUUUACUGGGUUUAAAGGGUGCGUAGGUGGAUAAUUAAGUCAGUGGUGAAAUCUUCAGGCUUAACCUGGAAACUGCCAUUGAUACUAUUUAUCUUGAAUACUUUGGAGGUAAGCGGAAUAUGUCAUGUAGCGGUGAAAUGCUUAGAUAUGACAUAGAACACCAAUUGCGAAGGCAGCUUACUACACAGUAAUUGACACUGAGGCACGAAAGCGUGGGGAUCAAACAGGAUUAGAUACCCUGGUAGUCCACGCCCUAAACGAUGGAUACUCGACAUUAGCGAUAUACAGUUAGUGUCUGAGCGAAAGCAUUAAGUAUCCCACCUGGGAAGUACGAUCGCAAGAUUGAAACUC